rnacentral:rRNA from 1 species
GUAGGUGGCAAGCGUUGUCCGGGAUUUAUUGGGGCGUAAAGCGCGCGCAGGCGGCUAUGUAAGUCUGGUGUUAAAGCCCCGGGGGGGCUCAAACCCCGGGUUCGCAUCGGAAACUGUGUAGCUUGAGUGCAGAAGAGGAAAGCGGUAUUUCACGUGUAGCGGUGAAAUGCGUAGAGAUGUGGAGGAACACCAGUGGCGAAGGCGGCUUUCUGGUCUGUAACUGACGCUGAGGCGCGAAAGCGUGGGGAGCAAACAGGAUUAGAUACCCUGGUAGUCCACGCCGUAAACGAUGAGUGCUAGGUGUUGGGGGUUUCAAUACCCUCAGUGCCGCAGCUAACGCAAUAAGCACUCCGCCUGGGGAGUACGCUCGCAAAGAGUG